rnacentral:lncRNA from 1 species
UUGCCUCAACUUAUAUAUUUUUAUUAAUAGAAACCAUUAGGAUUCAUCCGAAACCAGAAAACCGAAAGGGGCCUAGCAUUAAGUUCACACAUGUCAUAUCCUCUGCCUAAAGAACACAAAGUCGAGGUAACCAAAUGUGUAAACGACACCAGAUAAUCAUUAAGAGACAACAUUAUAUCAGCUAUAUGUAAUAAUGAGAAAGUAUCAAACAUAGGGAAUAUAUAAGCCGACAACAAGAUACUAGUCUAGUCCUUACUCUUCUUCCUCUUCUUCACUUGAAGUGGCCAGACUGGGGGUGUCGUCCUCGCAGAAGGAGUCUGGGUUCUUUCAUGGCCCUUUACAGAAGGACAUGGUGGCGCUGCCAGAGAUUGCAGAAAGAAUGAGAGAACGCAGGGAUGAAGAAAAGAGCAAUGAAGAUUGAAAUAGGCAUUGAUGGAUUAUAUUAGUGAAUUAGAGGGCAGUUUAGCCAGAUUGCCAAGUUACUUAGAGCAACUCCAACGUAGGGGCGGACACGGCAGGCACCCAACGCUAGAACGCAAAAACAGACAAAACGCCCCACCUCCUCCGUGUCAGCCGGCACCUCCUCCCGCCGCCCCUCCUCUCCCAGCGAGCUACCGCGUUGGGGACAUCUUUCUCCGUCCUCAUGGCUCCCACCCGCGCUAGCAGCCCGCAGAUCCGCGCUCGCACCCUCCGCGCGCAUGCCAGCAUCUGGCUUGCCAGAUCCCCUCGUCGCGCACGAGCAGGAGGCAGGGACGGCGGCGCUGCUUGGGGAGGGGCUCCGGCGAGGCAGCCCUGGCGGGGACCGGCCGAAAUAGGGAGAUCCGAGGCCGGAUCCGGGGCGGGUUGUCAACGACGGAGCUCGUAGCCGACGGCGGCGAGCUGCACAAGCGGGGUGGCGACGGUUAGAGAAGACAGAGAAAGACAUGGGAACGAGAGGAGCAGAGGGCACGAGCCUGGGGGUCGCCGGGGGGCGGCGGCGGCGGCACUUCUCGCCAGCGUGAGGAGGAGGUCGAGACCGGGUCGGCGCGUCUCCUCCAGUUACUCAGCGAGCGCCAAGAGGAGUAGCAGGAAGUGGCAGUGGGCAGCGAGCGCGGCGGUGGAGAUCUCCCAGUGGCCUCGCCAGUGCCUCGCUCCUCUUCGCGGUGGUUGUGGAGGCUGACGCCAGCUCGUGC